UACUUUACCUCUAGCUUGAUAUCUUUUAUUUCACUUUAAAAUUAAAGCAGCUCCAGGAUAAAAUAUAGAAGCUGUUUAAUACCGAUUACAAAUUGAGCAAACUCAUUAAGUAUGACUAGUAUGGCAAUGUGAUUUAACUCAGUAAGAAUUUUUUUUAAUUUCCAUUCUUUUAUUGUGAAUUUAUAACAUAAACUCUGUAAUGUAAUGUUUCAUUUUAAGAUCUUUUUCUUCCUCUAAGGAAUUAAUAACAUAGCACUUUAAGGAACUUUUAAUAAAAAUACUGUUUUUUUUGGUAAAUUGAAUGUCACUACUUAGUAUCAGAGACAAUAUUACAUUCUUCACUGCAUACUCAUGUAAAUUUCAAAAGCCUGCCUGAAAUCUAUAUAUGCUUGCUGGUCUAAAAAAAGGCCAGAUUAAAUUUUUUUUUUAACUUUUAUUUUAGGUUCAAGCGUACAUGUGCAGGUUUGUUAUAUAGGUAAAUUGUAUGUCACAGGGAUUCCGUGUACAGAUUAUUUCAUCACCCAGGUAGUCAGCAUAGUACCUGAUAGGUAGUUUUUUUUAUCUGUACACCACCCCGCCACUUUGACC
rnacentral:lncRNA from 1 species